UACGUAGGGGGGCAAGCGUUGUCCGGAUUUAUUGGGCGUAAAGAGCUCGUAGGCGGUUCGAUAAGUCGGACGUGAAAUCUCCACGCUCAACGUGGAGGGGCCGUUCGAUACUGUCGUGACUCGAGUCCGGUAGGGGAGUGUGGAAUUCCCGGUGUAGCGGUGAAAUGCGCAGAGAUCGGGAGGAACACCCGUAGCGAAGGCGGCACUCUGGGCCGGUACUGACGCUGAGGAGCGAAAGCGUGGGGAGCAA
rnacentral:rRNA from 1 species